UACGUAGGGUGCAAGCGUUGUCCGGAAUUAUUGGGCGUAAAGAGCUCGUAGGCGGUUUGUCGCGUCUGCUGUGAAAACUCGGGGCUUAACUCCGGGCCUGCAGUGGGUACGGGCAGACUAGCGUGCGGUAGGGGAGACUGGAAUUCCUGGUGUAGCGGUGAAAUGCGCAGAUAUCGGGAGGAACACCUAUGGCGAAGGCAGCUCGCUGGGACGGUACUGACGCUGAGACGCGAAAGCGUGGGGAGCAAACAGG
rnacentral:rRNA from 1 species